rnacentral:rRNA from 1 species
AGUGAACGCUGGCGGUAGGCCUAACACAUGCAAGUCGAACGGCAGCACAGUAAGAGCUUGCUCUUACGGGUGGCGAGUGGCGGACGGGUGAGGAAUACAUCGGAAUCUACUUUUUCGUGGGGGAUAACGUGGGGAAACUUAUGCUAAUACCGCAUACGACCUACGGGUGAAAGCAGGGGAUCUUCGGACCUUGCGCGAUUGAAUGAGCCGAUGUCGGAUUAGCUAGUUGGCGGGGUAAAGGCCCACCAAGGCGACGAUCCGUAGCUGGUCUGAGAGGAUGAUCAGCCACACUGGAACUGAGACACGGUCCAGACUCCUACGGGAGGCAGCAGUGGGGAAUAUUGGACAAUGGGCGCAAGCCUGAUCCAGCCAUACCGCGUGGGUGAAGAAGGCCUUCGGGUUGUAAAGCCCUUUUGUUGGGAAAGAAAAGCAGCAGGUUAAUACCCCGCUGUUCUGACGGUACCCAAAGAAUAAGCACCGGCUAACUUCGUG